ACAGCAGCAAAGGGAAGAUAUUUUCAUCCGUUAUCAAAACCAGAAAGCAGGUGUCCCUGAAACUUGCCUCUUCUUUGCCACUGAAGUUUGGGCUGUACUCGAAUGGCCUAGAGACAGAGAAUUAUGGGAAUAAAGAGCCUUGCUAUACAGCAGGUCCUCUUCUCCAGUAAAACAGAAUCAAAGCAGGGGACCACACACACCUUAGGUCAGGCCCUUGACACCACAUCCAUGUCCUGCAACUGUCCUGUCAGAGCCACUCAGUGAAGACUGCAAGCUGCCUCUCUCCAGGUGGUUGCUGAUAUUCCUCCAGGCGCUUCCAGAAGAGGGUAAUCCACCAGAGGCAAGCGAGAGAAAAAUUACCUGAGUUCUGUGAGCGAAGCAACAGCAAAGCCCGUUGUUGUAGGGCAUAUGGGAGAUACCCAGUGAGCCUUUCAGAUAAUGAGAGUUAAAUUUCAUCGAACAGCCCCACUACCUGCCCGAGGGGACUGACCCAUCUCUGGACGAUCCGGACUGUGUGUGGAAGCAGCUGCUAUAAAUGAGUUCUCUGCACGAAUUUGAAAGGUAAACAGAAAGGCAUAGCUCUUGCAGUGUGCUUUCUGCUACCCAGCAGACAGAUGCACGUUGCCAUUCUCCCUGCUCUGAUUCUUCCCUGGAGAUGGACACAACAGGUGGAGAUGGCCCUAUCAACCCUGUGGCUGCCCAAACUUCCUGCAGUGUUUGUGCUGUGGAGGAGAAGAGGCUCCUACACUGGUCAGGGUAGGCUGGA